rnacentral:rRNA from 1 species
AAAGGAAUAGACGGGGACCCGCACAAGUAGCGGAGCAUGUGGUUUAAUUCGAAGCAACGCGAAGAACCUUACCUAAGCUUGACAUCCCAUUGACCGCAGGGUAAUGCCUGCCUUCCCUUCGGGGACAAUGGAGACAGGUGGUGCAUGGUUGUCGUCAGCUCGUGUCGUGAGAUGUUAGGUUAAGUCCUGCAACGAGCGCAACCCUUGUCUUUAGUUGCCACCAGGUAAUGCUGAGCACUCUAGAGAGACUGCCGAGGACAACUCGGAGGAAGGUGGGGAUGACGUCAAAUCAUCAUGCCCCUUAUGCUUAGGGCUACACACGUGCUACAAUGGCUAUUACAAAGGGUUGCCAAGCCGCGAGGCGGAGCCAAUCCCAUAAAAAUAGUCUAAGUUCGGAUUGCAGGCUGAAACUCGCCUGCAUGAAGCCGGAGUUACUAGUAAUCGCAGAUCAGAAUGCUGCGGUGAAUGCGUUCCCGGGUCUUGUACACACCGCCCGU